CCCUUAGAUGUCCUGGGCUGCACGCGCGCUGCACUGAUGUGUCCAGUAAGCACCUAACCUCUUCCGAAAGGAACGGGUAACCUUUGCAAAGCACAUCGUGAUGGGGAUAGAUUAUUGCAAUUAUUAGUCUUGAACGAGGAAUUCCUAGUAAGCACAAGUCAUCAGCUUGUGUUGAUUACGUCCCUGCCCUUUGUACACACCGCCCGUCGCUCCUACCGAUUGAAUGUUCCGGUGAGCUCUUCGGACUGCGCGGUCUGCAGUUUCUGCGUUCCGUGCGGAAAGUUGCGCAAACCUUAACAUUUAGAGGAAGGAGAAGUCGUAACA
rnacentral:rRNA from 1 species